rnacentral:rRNA from 1 species
GAUAAACGCUGGCGGCGUGCCUAACACAUGCAAGUCGAACGUCCUUUCUUACUUCGGUGAGAGAGGGAGUGGCGGACGGGUGAGUAACACAUGGGAACCUGCCUUUCAGUGAGGAAUACCGGCGAGAAAUCGCCGACAAGACCGCAUACGCUUGUCUUUCGGGAGAGAGACAAGGAAAGUUCGGCAACGGACGCUGGAAGAAGGGCCUGUGGCCGAUUAGCUAGUUGGGGGGGUAAGGGCCUCCCAAGGCGACGAUCGGUAGCUGGUCUGAGAGGAC